rnacentral:rRNA from 1 species
AGUGAACGCUGGCGGCAGGCCUAAUACAUGCAAGUCGAACGGCAGCACAGCAGAGCUUGCUCUGUGGGUGGCGAGUGGCGGACGGGUGAGGAGUACAUGGGAAUCUGCCCAGUCGUGGGGGAUAACGUAUGGAAACGUACGCUAAUACCGCAUGCGCCCUAAGGGGGAAAGCCGGGGACCGCAAGGCCUGGCGCGAUUGGAUGAGCCCAUGUUCGAUUAGCUAGUUGGCGGGGUAAAGGCCCACCAAGGCGACGAUCGAUAGCUGGUCUGAGAGGAUGAUCAGCCACACUGGAACUGAGACACGGUCCAGACUCCUACGGGAGGCAGCAGUAGGGAAUAUCGGACAAUGGGGGCAACCCUGAUCCAGCCAUGCCGCGUGAGUGAAGAAGGCCCUCGGGUUGUAAAGCUCUUU